AAUGGAUUCGUCUCAGAGAGAGAAGCCCAAGGAGUCCCUCAAAAUAAGGACUUUCCUGCAAGGCCCAAGGAACCCCUGUUCCCUCCUUUGUGAGGGCCGAAGGGCCUUUCGAACAUGCCAAGGUCCUUGACCCAAGGCCAGGUUUUUCAAUCGAUCGUCCUUCUCCUCGGGUCAACACUUCCGACCGGAGCGUGAGAGGAGCCUGGCGGCAUUUCUCCGUGUGUGUCUGUGCGUGCUUGUGCGCCUUUGUGUUUAAACGAAUGGUAAUUAUUAAGCCAAUUGUUCUCAACAACUACCAGCUUGCAUUUGAUAACCGACGGAGAUCUCGCCCUUUCUUUAGCCAAUUCAUGCAUUCAAAAAUAUUUUCGUGACCACAGACUUCGUAUCUCAUUUCCGGGCGGGCCGAUUGACGAUGAAAAUCGGGUCAUCUCUGGAGCUACGCACGGAACUACUCGGAAGAGCUCGGCUCGGCUGAACCCAGCACGUUUCGUCGGGGAAGGAAUUAAAAGCUGGAAGGAGGAAAAAAGCCAAGAGACUUGGGUGGCUUCUUGAUGUUUCUGCAGCGGCAAACGGCGAGCGGCUGCCUAUUCCUCCAUCUUCCCGGGCAUUCGCCUGCUCCUGACGACGGAAAGAAAGAAAGAUCGCCUCCUCUCCUUCUUGGAUUACUGGAUCAAUAAACUAAGUUCAUAUUUUAAAGCUUGUAUGUACACACACUUGGGAGGGGGUGUUACCUUCGUCGAACACAGGGGGCUUAUCUCCGAGGAAACGUGCUUAGGAUCGGGGCACACUUCAGGCAUCCAAAAGCACGAAGAGAAACCAGUUUUGGGUCUCUCUUUGUCCCUCGCCCGUAAAACUGUUAGGAUUACGUUCCUGGAAACACACUUCACAAUUUAGCGGUGUUAUUGUUUGCUGUUGUUUUACAGCUUCGGUUCUUCGGCAUUUUAACAGUCUGCACUUAAGGGAAGGUGAAACGUCAAAGUGAGCUUGAAGAGCUAACAGAUAAUAAAGGGAAGAAAAACCAGAGGAACAGAGUCCGCGAAUGCCAGGGAAUUUAUUUUACGAAGGACAAAACGUACUUGCAAGGAUUAGGGUAGGGACGAGGAGAACUUUUCACUGGGUUGUUAAAUGGAUUAAAAAUGUAAAUUGUGCAUUGCAUUCCCACUAGCACGAUAUACACACACCUGGAGGUUUCACCAGGCAACAACUUUAACUAUAUUUUAUCCAGCUCUAUCUACAAGAAUUCCAAAUUUUGGACACGGGAAAUGAAGUACGUAUAUAAUCUCUGAAUUGUUUCCAAAUUGUGUUAUCUCAUUGACGGUCAGUGAAUAUCGCUGAAGAAGAA